GCCAAAGACAUCCUGGACCCUGACCUCAUUCGUCAGUUCAGGGCCCUCCACCCUGAGAGAGCUGACCCAGGUUCGUAACCGGGUCCUGACACCCCAGCUUCUGCAGCCAUCGUGAGGAGCAUUCAGGAGGAGGAUGCUGGUGCCCCAUCCAUCAGACCCACGGAACCAAAAACUCCAAUACGGGAAAUUCCAGCCGGUAGCAACAAGAAGAAGCGCUGUGAUGUGUGUGGACCCAAGAAGGACAGGAAGACACAGGACACAUGUAUCAAGUGCAAUACAUACAUUUGCAACACACACACACAGUAAAACUCUGUCCCUCAUGUGGUGUGUAGACCGGCCUUAAUGUGUUCAAUGGGGCUCAUUUAUCAUUUCCAAAAUAUACUCUACGUAAAA